AGGAAGCAGGGGAUCGCAAGACCUUGCGCUCUUGGAGCGGCCGAUGUCUGAUUAGCUAGUUGGUGAGGUAAAGGCUUACCAAGGCGACGAUCAGUAGCUGGUCUGAGAGGACGACCAGCCACACUGGGACUGAGACACGGCCCAGACUCCUACGGGAGGCAGCAGUGGGGAAUUUUGGACAAUGGGGGAAACCCUGAUCCAGCCAUGCCGCGUGAGUGAAGAAGGCCUUCGGGUUGUAAAGCUCUUUCAGCCGGAACGAAACGGUCACAGCUAAUACCUGUGACUACUGACGGUACCGGAAGAAGAAGCACCGGCUAACUACGUGCCAGCAGCCGCGGUAAUACGUAGGGUGCAAGCGUUAAUCGGAAUUACUGGGCGUAAAGCGUGCGCAGGCGGUUUUGUAAGUCAGAUGUGAAAUCCCCGGGCUUAACCUGGGAACUGCGUUUGAAACUACAAGGCU
rnacentral:rRNA from 1 species